UACGGGGGGGGGCAAGCGUUGUUCGGAAUUACUGGGCGUAAAGGGCUCGUAGGCGGCCAACUAAGUCAGACGUGAAAAUCCCUCGGCUUAACCGGGGAACUGCGUCUGAUACUGGAUGGCUUGAGUUUGGGAGAGGGAUGCGGAAUUCCAGGUGUAGCGGUGAAAUGCGUAGAUAUCUGGAGGAACACCGGUGGCGAAGGCGGCAUCCUGGACCAACACUGACGCUGAGUGAGCGAAAGCCAGGGGGAGCAAACGGG
rnacentral:rRNA from 1 species